AUGAUGGACUAUAGGACAGGACUGCUGCUUUUAACUCUCUGCUGGGCAGGUGUUGAUUGUCAGACUCUGACAGAAUCAGAGCCGGUGGUUAAAAGACCUGGAGAAUCCCACAGAUUGACCUGUACAGCCUCUGGAUUAACAAUCAGCGGCUACUGGAUGGCCUGGGUCAGACAGGCUCCUGGAAAAGGACUGGAGUGGGUUGCGAGUAUCUACAGUAGCUACAUCUACUACUCUCAGUCAGUUCAAGGCCGGUUUACCAUCUCCAGAGACGACAGCAGAGAGCAGCUGUAUCUGCAGAUGAACAGUCUGAAGACUGAAGAUUCUGCUGUUUAUUAUUGUGCUCGAGACCCACAGUGA